rnacentral:rRNA from 1 species
UACGGGGGGUGCGAGCGUUGUCCGGAAUCACUGGGCGUAAAGGGCUCGUAGGUGGCCAACUAAGUCAGACGUGAAAUCCCUCGGCUUAACCGGGGAACUGCGUCUGAUACUGGAUGGCUUGAGUUUGGGAGAGGGACGCGGAAUUCCAGGUGUAGCGGUGAAAUGCGUAGAUAUCUGGAGGAACACCGGUGGCGAAGGCGGCGUCCUGGACCAACACUGACACUGAUGAGCGAAAGCCAGGGGAGCAAACGGG